AAGCAGGGUUUCAUGUGUUUUCUGCUACUGGAGGGAGUCUAGCAUUUUUUUUCCUGCUGCAUAUUUAAGGCGAUGUUUUCCAACCAUUUUGCAAAUGUGGAAAUUGAAGCUUAGGUGCUUUCUCAAGUUGUUGAAUAGUCAUGCAACUAGUGAGUGGUAGACUCUCAGAUUGAACUGACUCUGAUUUCAGAACCCAAGUUCAAAUUUGUUUUCAUUCACUAUAUUAGCUCAAUUGUAUUGUCUUCAACAUUUCCAGUCCAUUGAUCAAGAUUCUAUUACAGCCACCCCUAUAUAUCUGGAGAGUGUAGAUAAGUUUUCUUUUCUUUUUUUUUUUUUCCCAGAGACUAAAACAACUUUACCAGAUUGAAACACUCAAGACAAAGGAGCCCAGGAACAAAAUUCAUCAGAAAACUAGAGGAAGUUUUCAUGGAGUUGCUGUGCUGGUGAUGCAAUCAGACAAGUUCUCUGCUGUUCUGGAGUUUACAUUUGGAAGAAUUGUGUUAUAUACCAGGGAAGGAUGUGGUAACUCUCCUGAAACCUUCCCUUGGUCAUUGUCUUCUUCUUCUUCUCCUCCUCCCUUUUCUCCCUCUCUUCCCCCUCCUCCUUCUCCUCUUAUUCUUCUUCCUCCUUCUGUUUUUAAAUGAGGAAGCCCAUAGAAAAUAUUGUGACAGGGAGAAAUGGAUUUUAAAUAAGUAUGACUGAAAAAAAACUUUUACUAUAAUAGAAAAUCUUGGUGCUGAGGGAAGAAAUCCAAAAAAUUAAAAAUCUUCAGAAGGUAUGUCUUUGAACAGACAAACAUUCAUGGACUUUUGAAAUUCAUUACUUCUUUGGUGCCUGGGAGACUGACUUGCUGUGUCUUUCAGCUCUUCUUGUUAGAGGGAUAAAGAUUCCGCCUAACAUAUUUUCUCAACAAACUUUUGCUUUCCAAUAAACUGAAUAAAGUGGGAAUAUAGCUUCUCACUUUCUCCUAACCUUCAAUUAAUUAUUAAUAAAAACUUUAAUGUACAUGUUAGUUCAAGCUUCUAUUUCAUAUUCUCCUUAAGAUGUUUACACAUCAACAGGGGCUAUAAUCUCAGAGUUUCCUGAAUAACUUGGGGUGAUGUUUCGAAUAGCAAUGCUGAGGGAAAUUGAGGGAAUCCGCUGGGGGAGAGAUGUGGUAGGUGGAAGGAAGUGUUUUGGGGCAGUCAAAGAUAUGGAUGAGCCCUUCCUCACUCGUUUGGGCCAGAGCUUCCUUCACAGCCCCCUCUGUUCUCUAACAAGGUGACUGUCUCAGUUUGGGGUGCAUGAAACCCAAAUCUACUCAAAGUAGAUCAAGAAAAAGAGAAAUUAUUGGAAGGAUUCAGGGAAACCUCACAGAAGUCAACUGUGGAAAGGCAGAUGGGGAACUCCCUGCUUUCUAAUCUCAACUUCUUUUUGUAUGUCUGUUCUGCUCCUGUUUUUCUUUUUUUUCUUUUUUUCUGUCUUUUUUUUCUUUUCUCUUUUCUU
rnacentral:lncRNA from 10 species